GAGGGUGUAGCUUAAGUGGUAGAGUGCAUGCUUAGCAUGCACGAGGUCCUAGGUUCAAUCCCUAGUACCUCCA
rnacentral:tRNA from 1 species